rnacentral:rRNA from 1 species
CCCUUAGAUGUUCUGGGCUGCACACGUGCUACACUGGCAGGUUCAGCGAGCUCCAUGCCCUGAUCUGAAAGGAAUGGGAAAUCUUUUCAAAACCUGCUGUGCUUGGGAUAGAUGUUUGCAAUUAUUCAUCUUCAACGAGGAUUGCCUUGUAAGCGCACGUCAUCAGCGUGCAUUGAAUACGACCCUGUAUUCUGUACACACCGCCCGUCGCUCCUACCGAUUGAAGUUUUCGGUGAGUUGACAGGAGGAUUUUUUUGAAACUGGUUCGCCAGUGGAUUUUAGAUCCAAAUGCCAACGAAUCGAUGGCUUUAGAGGAAGGAGAAGUCGUAACA